CCUACGGGGGGCAGCAGUGGGGAAUUUUGGACAAUGGGGGCAACCCUGAUCCAGCCAUGCCGCGUGCGGGAAGAAGGCCUUCGGGUUGUAAACCGCUUUUGUCGGGGAAGAAAUCCCCUGGGGUAAUACCUCGGGGGGAUGACGGUACCCGGAGAAUAAGCACCGGCUAACUACGUGCCAGCAGCCGCGGUAAUACGUAGGGUGCAAGCGUUAAUCGGAAUUACUGGGCGUAAAGCGUGCGCAGGCGGGUGAAAUCCCCGGGCUCAACCUGGGAACUGCAUUUGUGACUGCAUAGCUGGAGUGCGGCAGAGGGGGAUGGAAUUCCGCGUGUAGCAGUGAAAUGCGUAGAGAUGCGGAGGAACACCGAUGGCGAAGGCAAUCCCCUGGGCCUGCACUGACGCUCAUGCACGAAAGCGUGGGGAGCAAACAGGAUUAGAUACCCGAGUAGUC
rnacentral:rRNA from 1 species